rnacentral:rRNA from 1 species
GGAUAACAGUUGGAAAUGACUGCUAAAACCGCAUAACAUGGCGAUACCGCAUGAUAUUGCCAUCAAAUAUUUAUAGGUAUGAGAUGGGCCCGCGUCUGAUUAGCCAGUUGGCAGGGUAAUGGCCUACCAAAGCGACGAUCAGUAGCCGGCUUGAGAGAGUGACCGGCCACAUUGGGACUGAGACACGGCCCAAACUCCUACGGGAGGCAGCAGUGGGGGAUAUUGCACAAUGGGGGAAACCCUGAUGCAGCGACGCCGCGUGAGUGAAGAAGUAUUUCGGUAUGUAAAGCUCUAUCAGCAGGGAAGAAAACAAUGACAGUACCUGACUAAGAAGCCCCGGCUAACUACGUGCCAGCAGCCGCGGUAAUACGUAGGGGGCAAGCGUUAUCCGGAUUUACUGGGUGUAAAGGGAGCGUAGGCGGUGCGGCAAGUCAGAAGUGAAAGCCCGGGGCUCAACUCCGGGACUGCUUUUGAAACUGUCGGACUGGAGUGUCGGAGAGGUAAGUGGAAUUCCUAGUGUAGCGGUGAAAUGCGUAGAUAUUAGGAGGAACACCAGUGGCGAAGGCGGCUUACUGGACGAUCACUGACGCUGAGGCUCGAAAGCGUGGGGAGCAAACAGGAUUAGAUACCCUGGUAGUCCACGCCGUAAACG